rnacentral:rRNA from 1 species
GCGGCGCGUCAAAAGCAUGCAAGACGAACGGCAAGGCAGGCGCUUGCACCUGCCCUAGAGUGGCGGACUGGUGAGUAACACGUGGGUGACAUGCCUUUUAGUUGGGGAUAGCUACUAAAAAUAAUAAAUAAUACCGAAUGUGAUCAAUAUUUAUAGAUGAUGUUGAGGAAAGGAGCUAAUGCUUCGCUAAAAGAUUGGCCCGCGGCCCAUUAGCUAGUUGGUAGGGUAAAGGCUUACCAAGGCUUUGAUGGGUAUCCGGCCUGAGAGGGUGAUCGGACACAUUGGGACUGAGAUACGGCCCAGACUCCUACGGGAGGCAGCAGCUAAGAAUAUUCCACAAUGGACGAAAGUCUGAUGGAGCGACGCCGCGUGGAUGAUGAAGGCCGAAAGGUUGUAAAAUCCUUUUACACUGGAGGAAUAAGCAGAGUAGGGAAUGACUCUGUGAUGACUGUACAGUUUGAAUAAGCAACGGCUAACUACGUGCCAGCAGCCGCGGUAAUACGUAGGUGGCGAGCGUUGUCCGGAUUUAUUGGGCGUAAAGGGUACGUAGGCGGGCCUGCAAGUCUGAUUUGAAAGCACACGGCUUAACCGUGUGAGGUAAUUAGAAACUACAGGUCUAGAGAGUGGUAGAGGUAAAUGGAAUUCCAAGUGGAGCGGUGAAAUGCGUAGAGAUUUGGAGGAACACCAGUGGCGAAGGCGGUUUACUGGGCCACAUCUGACGCUGAUGUACGAAAGCGUGGGGAGCAAACAGGAUUAGAUACCCUGGUAGUCCACGCCGUAAACGAUGAGUGCUAAGUAUCGGAGGAUUCGGUGCUUAAGCUAACGCAGUAAGCACUCCGCCUGGGGAGUACGGUCGCAAGACUGAAACUCAAAGGAAUUGACGGGGGCCCGCACAAGCGGUGGAGCAUGUGGUUUAAUUCGAGGCAACGCGAAGAACCUUACCAAGGCUUGACAUACACCUGGAGCGCGCGGAAACGUGUGUGACUUUGAUACAGGUUGUACAGGUGGUGCAUGGUUGUCGUCAGCUCGUGUCGUGAGAUGUUGGGUUAAGUCCCGUAACGAGCGCAACCCUUGUCUUAUGUUGCCAGCAA